rnacentral:rRNA from 1 species
CUAACUACGUGCCAGCAGCCGCGGUAAUACGUAGGUGGCGAGCGUUAUCCGGAAUGAUUGGGCGUAAAGGGUACGUAGGCGGCCAGAUAAGUCUGGUGUGAAAGGCUGCAGCUCAACUGCAGCACUGCACUGGAAACUGUCCGGCUGGAGUGCAGAAGAGGGCGAUGGAACUCCAUGUGUAGCGGUAAAAUGCGUAGAUAUAUGGAAGAACACCGGUGGCGAAGGCGGUCGCCUGGUCUGCAACUGACGCUGAAGUACGAAAGCGUGGGGAGCAAAUAGGAUUAGAUACCCUAGUAGUCCACGCCGUAAACGAUGAGAACUAGGUGUUGGGGGAAUAACUCAGUGCCGCAGUCAACGCAAUAAGUUCUCCGCCUGGGGAGUAUGCACGCAAGUGUGAAACUCAAAGGAAUUGACGGGGGCCCGCACAAGCGGUGGAGUAUGUGGUUUAAUUCGAAGCAACGCGAAGAACCUUACCAGGCCUUGACAUCCCCUGCAAAGAUGCAGAGAUGUAUCGGAGGCUAUCAGGGAGACAGGUGGUGCAUGGUUGUCGUCAGCUCGUGUCGUGAGAUGUUGGGUUAAGUCCCGCAACGAGCGCAACCCUUGUGAUAUGUUACCAGUAUCAAGUUAGGGACUCAUAUCAGACUGCCGGUGACAAACCGGAGGAAGGUGGGGAUGACGUCAAAUCAUCAUGCCCCUUAUGGCCUGGGCCACACACGUACUACAAUGGCGGAUACAGAGGGCAGCGACAGGGCGACCUGGAGCGAAUCCCGAAAAGUCCGUCCCAGUUCGGAUUGGAGUCUGCAACCCGACUCCAUGAAGUUGGAAUCGCUAGUAAUCGCGAAUCAGCAUGUCGCGGUGAAUACGUUCUCGGGCCUUGUACACACCGCCCGUCAAACCAUGGGAGUCAGUAAUACCCGAAGCCGGUGGCAUAACCUUAGGGAGUGAGCCGUCGAAGGUAGGACCGAUGACUGGGGUUAAGUCGUAACAAGGUAUCCCUACGGGAACGUGGGGAUG